CUCGAACGAGAAUCUACUGAAAGAGUUUUCGGACAAUGGAUGUAGAGGAAAGUGGCGGACGGGUGAGUAACGCGUGAGGAACCUGCCUUGAAGAGGGGGACAACAGUUGGAAACGACUGCUAAUACCGCAUGACGCAUAGAGGUCGCAUGAUCUUUAUGCCAAAGAUUUAUCGCUUCAAGAUGGCCUCGCGUCUGAUUAGCUGGUUGGCGGGGUAACGGCCCACCAAGGCGACGAUCAGUAGCCGGACUGAGAGGUUGAACGGCCACAUUGGGACUGAGAUACGGCCCAGACUCCUACGGGAGGCAGCAGUGGGGAAUAUUGGGCAAUGGGCGCAAGCCUGACCCAGCAACGCCGCGUGAAGGAAGAAGGCUUUCGGGUUGUAAACUUCUUUUAAGAGGGAAGAGCAGAAGACGGUACCUCUAGAAUAAGCCACGGCUAACUACGUGCCAGCAGCCGCGGUAAUACGUAGGUGGCAAGCGUUGUCCGGAUUUACUGGGUGUAAAGGGCGUGCAGCCGGGUCUGCAAGUCAGAUGUGAAAUCCAUGGGCUCAACCAAUGAACUGCAUUUGAAACUGUAGAUCUUGAGUGUCGGAGGGGCAAUCGGAAUUCCUAGUGUAGCGGUGAAAUGCGUAGAUAUUAGGAGGAACACCAGUGGCGAAGGCGGAUUGCUGGACGAUAACUGACGGUGAGGCGCGAAAGUGUGGGGAGCAAACAGGAUUAGAUACCCUGGUAGUCCACACUGUAAACGAUGAAUACUAGGUGUGCGGGGACUGACCCCCUGCGUGCCGCAGCAAACACAAUAAGUAUUCCACCUGGGGAGUACGAUCGCAAGGUUGCAACUCAAA
rnacentral:rRNA from 1 species